UACGUAGGGCGCAAGCGUUGUCCGGAAUUAUUGGGCGUAAAGAGCUCGUAGGCGGCCUGUUGCGUCCGCUGUGAAAUCCCGGGGCUCAACCCCGGGCGUGCAGUGGAUACGGGCUGGCUGGAGGCAGGCAGGGGAGAACGGAAUUCCCGGUGUAGCGGUGAAAUGCGCAGAUAUCGGGAGGAACACCGGUGGCGAAGGCGGUUCUCUGGGCCUGUACUGACGCUGAGGAGCGAAAGCGUGGGGAGCGAACAGG
rnacentral:rRNA from 1 species